AAAAAUUGAGACAUAAUAUACCAGCAUAUUCUUUUAGAUCUUUUUCUUUUUUUAUUCAUCCUAAUCCUUAGAAUCUGAAUUUUGGGUCUUCUAGGUAAAUGUGUGUGUGUAUGCAUCUAUGUAUUUGUAUACGUAUUUUUUACCAUGGUCAUGUCUAUUUGCUAUACUGUUUUGGUUGUGUUUAGCUACUCGGUUUGGUGUAUGAAGAUGGAAAUAUCUACACCGCCAUCUGUACGAAGAUGGAAAUGUCUAAACCGCCAACUCUAUAAACAUGGAAAUAUCUACAGCGCCAUUUGUAGGAACAUGGAGCUUUUGUGGAAAGUGGGUGUAUAGUCAUAUUAGUUGUUGUCACAUGUAUAAAUUUGAGUAACUGUCAUCAUAAUCAAGACACAGAACUCUUCUGUCAGUCACCACACCCAGCUAAUUUUUGUAUUUUUAGUAGAGACGGAGUUUCACCAUGUUGGCCAGGCUGGUCUUGAACUCCUGG
rnacentral:lncRNA from 1 species